AAAACCUUUCAGGCAAACUUUCCAUAGCCAGAGUGACCUUGGAAACCAUAAUAUUGAAGGUGAUAGAGCCAGUGUGUCUGGGUCCCUGAAUGACUCCAUUUGAACCCACCUCCUCCCAGUCUGGAGCAACAAUCUUGGAUGAUAAAGAGAACAAAAUAACUUCUAUUUUAUUUGGGCCCUUACAUGUUGGGCCUAUUUAUUUUGGCAGUUUAGCCUCCUCUAAUAUAUUUAGUAUAGAGAAGUACUAUUAUGACAGAAAACCCAGAAGUCUUAAAGGAAAAGACUGACAGAUUUCACUACAUAAAAAAUGUAAAAUUUCUGUACAGGAAAAAUAGGAUAAACAAAGUUAAAACAGACACGAAGAAAGUGCGCAAUAUGCAAUAGGUAUUAUUCAUAAAAAAUGCAUAAUUUCAUAUAAAAAUGCCCUCAGUAGUAAUCACUAAUACAUAAAAUUUUUUUCUUAAAGCAAGACAUAUAUCAAUACCUUUUCCUUACUUAUACUUAACUUUUAACUAUCUAGUAUUUUUAUGAGUACACAGAAAGUGACAAUCUCAUUUUCCCUUGUCAAUUAAUCUUUAAUGGUUUCCCAACACAGGGUAAAUGAAAGGGAAAGAGAAAAAAAUAAGGCAGAAUGAGGUUUAGAUAAACAACCCUACAAUUCAGAAGGCAGUGCUUAUUAAGCCCUAAAAUAGAGUAGGGAGCAGCAGUGGACACGUUUCAUACAUUAAGCAAGACAAGACAGAAACACUGGAGGGUUUCUUCCUUUUUUAAAGGCACUUCUCAAAUGAACUAUCUUGUUAAUGUCAAGUUUCCUCAAAGUAGCCAUUACAAUUCCAAAUUGUCCCUGGGGAAAUUGUACUGGUGGGAUAUACAUACUAGUUACAGUGAAAAAACAUGAAGGAAGCAGGUAUUGACCCAAAAGAGCCAGGACUUUAGAUAGAAGAGACCCCAUGAAAAUCGCCAUGGUCUGUAAAGAUAGUGUUUAUGCAAACUUCCAAGGUGGAACUUGGCCAAAAGCAAAUCAUCCCCAAUCAGGAGCCAAACAGAUCCCAAUUCUGGGUAAAGGAAACCAAACCAAAUAGUCCUCAAGGACAAAGGUAAGGCUUGGUCUCUUCUGUCUCCAUCUUGGUCAGUUUGGAUUCUAUGUCAGAGCCUGUGCUGCCCCCAGACUUCACCACCAGCCCCUAACACUUACUCUCAGUGGAAGUGGGCAAACUCCUUCUGGUUUCAGCUGCUGUUCUCAGUAUAGCUCACUGAAACUUUG